AUUGAACGCUGGCGGCAGGCCUAACACAUGCAAGUCGAGCGAGCGCCGGGGGGGGGUGUAAUGUCUGUGAAACUGCGUGUUGGAGGGGGGUAUCUCUUGGAAACGGUGGAUCAUACCCCAUACCAUCAGAUGUGCCCAGAUGGGAUUAGCUAGUAGGUGGGGUAACGGCGCACCUAGGCGACGAUCCCUAGCUGGUCUGAGAGGAUGACCAGCCACACUGGAACUGAGACACGGUCCAGACUCCUACGGGAGGCAGCAGUGGGGAAUAUUGCACAAUGGGCGCAAGCCUGAUGCAGCCAUGCCGCGUGUGUGAAGAAGGCCUUCGGGUUGUAAAGCACUUUCAGCGGGGAGGCGUUACCCGCAGAAGAAGCACCGGCUAACUCCGUGCCAGCAGCCGCGGUAAUUC
rnacentral:rRNA from 1 species